GGCCUUGUUCAGUCAAAAGACUGAUAAGUUGUUUCCCUGAAAGGGCAAAUCUUCCACAGUGGACUUUAUUUCGUUGGGAAAACAGCGCUGGCCGAAGUGCUCCUUGACUCCUCAGCCCAUUGUACAAGAGUCUGCCUAGCCCGAAUCUGACUGGGGACUCGGCCUCCUCCAGGAAGUGUUUCCUAAGCCUGAACUCCCCAACUUGAGAGAGUCUAGGAUCAGUCGUGAACACUGGGGGGCUUCAUCCCAGACCAUGUGACAGUAAGAAGGAACCGGAGAGAUCGUCAGUCUGCAUGGCCCCUCAUACUCUUGGAUCAGAACACAAGAAGGAGUGCAGGCAUUACUUUUUCCAGAGAUAUUCCUCAUCCCCAACUGAAGAAACCGAGUCACUUUGGAGAUGGCUCAUGACACUUG